GCGAGACUCUGUCUCAAAAAGAAAUGUAAUGCACACAAGAAUUACAAUCAAAAGAGAAUUUGUAGACCAGGCAUGGUGGCUCACAACUGUAAUCCGAGCACUUGGGGAGGCCAAGAAGGGAGAAUUGCUUGAAGCCAGAAGUUCUGAUACCAGCCUGGACUAAAAACCAAGAAUGUCUCUACAAAAAAUUUAAAACACAAUAAAAUUAGACAAGCAUGAAAAAAAAAAAAAAGAGAGAGAGAGAGAGCGAGAGAGUGAGAAUUUUUAUUCCAGAACAACAAAAAUGAA
rnacentral:lncRNA from 1 species